rnacentral:rRNA from 1 species
AUUGAACGCUGGCGGCAUGCCUUACACAUGCAAGUCGAACGGCUGCACGGGAGCAAUCCUGGUGGCGAGUGGCGAACGGGUGAGUAAUAUAUCGGAACGUGCCCAGUCGUGGGGGAUAACGCAGCGAAAGCUGUGCUAAUACCGCAUACGAUCUACGGAUGAAAGCGGGGGAUCGCAAGACCUCGCGCGAUUGGAGCGGCCGAUAUCAGAUUAGCUAGUUGGUGGGGUAAAAGCCCACCAAGGCGACGAUCUGUAGCUGGUCUGAGAGGACGACCAGCCACACUGGAACUGGGACACGGUCCAGACUCCUACGGGAGGCAGCAGUGGGGAAUUUUGGACAAUGGGCGCAAGCCUGAUCCAGCAAUGCCGCGUGCGGGAUGAAGGCCUUCGGGUUGUAAACUGCUUUUGUACGGAACGAAACGGCUCUUUCUAAUAAAGAGGGCUAAUGACGGUACCGUAAGAAUAAGCACCGGCUAACUACGUGCCAGCAGCCGCCGUAA